rnacentral:rRNA from 1 species
AAUCAACGCUGGCGGCGUGCCUCAGACAUGCAAGUCGAACGAUUAAACUUUCCUUCGGGAAAGAUAUAAAGUGGCGUACGGGUGAGUAACACGUAAGUAAUCUACCUUCGAGUGGGGAAUAACGUUCGGAAACGAACGACUAAUACCGCAUAAUGCAGCGGCAUCAUAUGAUGACAGUUGUUAAAGCAUUUAUGCGCUUGAAGAGGAGCUUGCGGCAGAUUAGCUAGNGGUAAGGUAAUGGCUUACCAAGGCAACGAUCUGUAUCCGGUCUAAGAGGACGGUCGGACACACUGACACUGAAUAACGGGUCAGACUCCUACGGGAGGCAGCAGUCGGGAAUUUUGGGCAAUGGGCGAAAGCCUGACCCAGCAACGCCGCGUGAAGGAUGAAGUC